rnacentral:rRNA from 1 species
GACGAACGCUGGCGGCGUGCUUAACACAUGCAAGUCGAACGGAAAGGCCCUGCUUUUGUGGGGUGCUCGACUGGCGAACGGGUGAGUAACCCGUGAGUACCCUGCCCCUGCCCUUGGGAUAACUUCAGGACACUGGGUCUCAUACCGGCUAGGAGCUCCUGCUGCAUGGUGGGGGUUGGAUAGUUUCGGCGGUUGGGGAUGUACUCGCGGCGCAUCAGCUUGUUGGGGGGGUAGUGUCUUACCAAGGCUUUGACGAGUAGCCGGCCUGAGAGGAGGACCGGCCACACCAGGACGGAAAUACGGCACAGACCACUACGGGAGGGAGGGGAGCGGAGUAGAGCAUUAUGGGCGGAAGCCAGACGCAGUAAAGCCGCGUGCGGGAUGAGAGCCAUCGGUUUGUAUUCCAAUGCCGCCUUUGACGAAACGAGAGUGACGGUAAUGGGUAAAUAAGCACCGGCUAACUACGUG